UGCCAAACCAUGGCCAGCCCGCUGCGCUCCUUGAUGCUACUGCUGGCCGUCCUGGCGGUGGCCUGGGCCGGAACCUCCAGGCCACCCCCGCGAUUGUUGGGAGCUCCGCAGGAGGCAGAUGCCAGCGAGGAGGGCGUGCAGCGAGCGUUGGACUUCGCAGUAAGCAGUACAAGGGCAGCAAAGAUGCAUACCACAGCCGCGCGCCGUACAGGUGGUGAGAGCUCGUAAGCAGCUUGUGGCUGGAAUAAACUAUUAUUUGGAUGUGGAGAUGGGCCGAACUACAUGUACCAAGUCCCAGCCAAAUUUGACUAACUGUCCUUUCCACGACCAGCCCCAUCUGAUGAGGAAGGCACUCUGCUCCUUCCAGAUCUACAGCGUGCCCUGGAAAGGCACACACACCCUGACAAAAUCCAGCUGCAAAAAUGUCUAAGAGCUGAGUCUCAUAGGACCAUGCCAAAGGUCCCUUAUUUGUUCCCCUUCCCUGUAGUGUUUAAUCUCUGAGAAGGGUGCUCCAGCUCUGGAGGGCAUCUCCAGGGUGUUCCCACCAGGAGACAGUAAGGAAGCUGCUGCAGGCAGCUGUCCCCUGGUUCCACUCUUCUCCUUGCAGUACCUGUCAUACCUUGCUCUUGCUCAAUUAAAAAAUUAAAAAAAAGAAAGAAAGAAAGAACUAA
rnacentral:lncRNA from 1 species